GCCGCGGUAGCUCAGUUGGUAGAGCAACGCAUUCGUAAUGCGUAGGUCGGCGGUUCGAGUCCGUCCCGCGGCA
rnacentral:tRNA from 1 species